rnacentral:rRNA from 1 species
AACGAACGCUGGCGGCAGGCUUAACACAUGCAAGUCGCGGGAGAAGGUUUCUUCGGAAGCUGGACACCGGCGCACGGGUGAGUAACGCGUGGGAACGUACCUUUCGGUGGGGGACAACAGUUGGAAACGACUGCUAAUACCGCAUACGCCCUUAGGGGGAAAGAUUUAUCGCCGAAAGAUCGGCCCGCGUUAGAUUAGCUUGUUGGUGAGGUAAGAGCUCACCAAGGCAACGAUCUAUAGCUGGUCUGAGAGGAUGAUCAGCCACACUGGAACUGAGACACGGUCCAG